rnacentral:rRNA from 1 species
UACGAAGGGGGCUAGCGUUGUUCGGAAUUAUUGGGCGUAAAGCGCGUGUAGGCGGCCAGGUAAGUCCGUUCUGAAAGCCCGGGGCUCAACCCCGGGAGGCGGAUGGAUACUGCUUGGCUCGAGUCCGGAAGAGGCGAGUGGAAUUCCCGGUGUAGCGGUGAAAUGCGCAGAUAUCGGGAGGAACACCAAUGGCGAAGGCAGCUCGCUGGGACGGUACUGACGCUGAGACGCGAAAGCGUGGGGAGCAAACAGG